GACGGACGCUGGCGGCGUGCUUAACACAUGCAAGUCGAACGGAAAGGCCCUGCUUUUGUGGGGUGCUCGAGUGGCGAACGGGUGAGUAACACGGGAGUAACCUGCCCUUGACUUUGGGAUAACUUCAGGAAACUGGGGCUAAUACCGGAUAGGCGCUCCUGCUGCAUGGUGGGGGUUGGAAAGUUUCGGCGGUUGGGGAUGGACUCGCGGCUUAUCAGCUUGUUGGUGGGGUAGUGGCUUACCAAGGCUUUGACGGGUAGCCGGCCUGAGGGGGUGACCGGCCACAUUGGGACUGAGAUACGGCCCAGACUCCUACGGGAGGCAGCAGUGGGGAAUAUUGCACAAUGGGCGGAAGCCUGAUGCGGCAACGCCGCGUGCGGGAUGACGGCCUUCGGGUUGUAAACCGCUUUCGCCUGUGACGAAGCGUGAGUGACGGUAAUGGGUAAAGAAGCACCGGCUAACUACGUG
rnacentral:rRNA from 1 species